AACGAACGCUGGCGGCGCGCCUAAUACAUGCAAGUCGAGCGAGAAGGUGUAGCAAUACACUUGUAAAGCGGCGAACGGGUGAGGAAUGCAUGGGUAACCUACCCUCGAGUGGGGAAUAACUAGCCGAAAGGUUAGCUAAUACCGCAUACGUUUCCGGAACUUCGGUUUCGGAAAGAAAGCAAUACCGUGGGUAUUGCGCUCCUGGAUGGGCUCAUGUCCUAUCAGCUUGUUGGUGAGGUAACGGCUCACCAAGGCUUCGACGGGUAGCUGGUCUGAGAGGACGAUCAGCCACACUGGCACUGCGACACGGGCCAGACUCCUACGGGAGGCAGCAGUAGGGAAUAUUGCACAAUGGAGGAAACUCUGAUGCAGCGACGCCGCGUGAGUGAUGAAGGCCUUGGGUCGUAAAGCUCUGUCGUAUGGGAAUAAGAAAGUGAAUGUACCAUGCAAGAAAGGAUCGGCUAACUUCGUGCCAGCAGCCGCGGUAAU
rnacentral:rRNA from 1 species